rnacentral:rRNA from 1 species
AUUGAACGCUGGCGGCAUGCCUUACACAUGCAAGUCGAACGGUAACAGGUCUUCGGAUGCUGACGAGUGGCGAACGGGUGAGUAAUACAUCGGAACGUGCCUAGUAGUGGGGGAUAACUACUCGAAAGAGUGGCUAAUACCGCAUGAGAUCUACGGAUGAAAGCAGGGGAUCGCAAGACCUUGUGCUAAUAGAGCGGCCGAUGGCAGAUUAGGUAGUUGGUGGGAUAAAAGCUUACCAAGCCGACGAUCUGUAGCUGGUCUGAGAUGGACGAUCAGCCACACUGGGACUGAGACACGGCCCAGACUCCUACGGGAGGCAGCAGUGGGGAAUUUUGGACAAUGGGCGCAAGCCUGAUCCAGCAAUGCCGCGUGCAGGAUGAAGGCCUUCGGGUUGUAAACUGCUUUUGUACGGAACGAAAAGCCCUGGGUUAAUACCCUGGGGUCAUGACGGUACCGUAAGAAUAAGCACCGGCUAACUACGUGCCAGCCGCCGCGGUAAUAC